rnacentral:rRNA from 1 species
UACGUAGGGUGCAAGCGUUGUCCGGAAUUAUUGGGCGUAAAGAGCUCGUAGGCGGUUUGUCGCGUCUGCUGUGAAAACUCGGGGCUUAACUCCGGGCCUGCAGUGGGUACGGGCAGACUAGAGUGCGGUAGGGGAGACUGGAAUUUACGGUGUAGCGGUGAAAUGCGUAGAUAUCGUAAGGAAGACCAGUGGCGAAGGCGGGUCUCUGGACAGUUCCUGACGCUGAGGCACGAAGGUCAGGGGAGCAAACGGG